AGAAUCAGAGGUUCCUGCAACUUAUUCUUUUAUCUUUCAAUGCCCCUUGGCAAUCAUUAUCCACCUGACCGUUUGAUCUCUUUUUGUUUUCGGUUCAGGCAUUUCUUGCAUUGCUUUUUCUUUUCUUUUUUUUUCCUUCUUUUUUUUUUGUUUUUUUUUGUUUUUUGUUGUUUUUUUAGCAGGAUCGACCUCGAUUCCUCUUUCGUUCACAAUAAGCCUCGGCAACUUACCGGACAGCACUCCACAAGUGCACUGAU
rnacentral:lncRNA from 1 species